GACGAACGCUGGCGGCGUGCUUAACACAUGCAAGUCGAACGGAAAGGCCCUGCUUUUGUGGGGUGCUCGAGUGGCGAACGGGUGAGUAACACGUGAGUAACCUGCCCUUGACUUUGGGAUAACUUCAGGAAACUGGGGCUAAUACCGGAUAGGAGCUCCUGCUGCAUGGUGGGGGUUGGAAAGUUUCGGCGGUUGGGGAUGGACUCGCGGCUUAUCAGCUUGUUGGUGGGGUAGUGGCUUACCAAGGCUUUGACGGGUAGCCGGCCUGAGAGGGUGACCGGCCACAUUGGGACUGAGAUACGGCCCAGACUCCUACGGGAGGCAGCAGUGGGGAAUAUGGCACAAUGGGCGGAAGCCGGAUGCAGCAACGCCGCGUGCGGGAGGACGGCCUUCGGGUUGUAAACCGCUUUCGCCUGUGACGAAGCGUGAGUGACGGUAAUGGGUAAAGAAGCACCGGCUAACUACGU
rnacentral:rRNA from 1 species